GGCGGGUUCUAACAGAUCCUCCAUAUGUACGGUGAUCCUUGGAUGUUAGGAUGUGAUAGGAUAAAAACAAGGGAAGCAAGAAUGGAGAUCUUUUUUUUUUGGUCGACAAUUACAAACUGCAAUUGUGCAUCAAAUGGUGGCAUAGGAGAUUUGUAAGUGGAGGAGGUUAGGGUUUCCUAGCCUCCGAUGCAUAUGAGGAGGAGCUAGAAUCAUUUUCCUCUAACUCAAAUAAGAGAAACCCUAAUAUUUUUUGAGCUAUCUCAGCUUCAGGCUAGGUCGUUUCUGGGUUGGGCCUCACAUUUGGGUCCUAAAUUUAAGCUUGGAGGUAUGCACCCAGGUAUUGACUACUAAUUAGUAGAUUUAGGAUCACAACCCCUGAUCUAGAAGGAUCCUGGGUUAUGGAGCCUUGGGUGGAUCCUAUAAACUAGGGCAAUGCUUCAUAUGCCUAGAUUUAAUGUGAAAUUUGUGCUAUUUUAGAUCUUUCCUGAAAAAUCUAAUCAUCAAUAUAUUUUGUGUAGAUCAUGCAUAUUGUUGGAGGAAUUUAUAUAUUUUAUAACUCGAUCAGUAAGUAUCUCUACACUCUAUGGCUUUACAGAUGCAUCCUUAUUUUACGUACAAAAUUUACCUUGUAUCUCGUAUUUACAUAUGUAUAUUUUGUACUAUAUUUAGUAUUGUUCAAAAGAAUAAUUAUUUACUGGAUCAAGCAUAGAAGACCAUAUUGUGCAUGACGGUUGGAUUUUAAUGAUGAAAAUUUACUUCAAGAAAUUUUUUUGCUUGACAUAGCAUGUAAUGUGGUACUUAAGCAAGAUCAUGGUCAUGAUUAUUUAAAUUGCACAUUGGAAAUAUUUGAAAGAGAUGUCAAACCUUAUUUGAAAAUCCAUAGACAUUUCAAGGAAUUAUUUUCACUGUCUGGCUGAGAACAAUUGAUCUGGAAAGAAUGUGAUGUAUGCUCUUUAGUUUGACUAUGAUCACACGGUUCAUGAUUUAGUUUUUUUUCAUACCUAGCCAAUGGAGCAAUCAUAGACAUAUGCUGAUCAAAGGCAUAUUAUUCAGAAACUAGUUCCCUUUAAGCCUAUCCAGUCGAGGUGAUCGUUGGCAUAAGUUGUAUGUAGUCAGGUUUUCCAUGUGACAUAGAGCUAGUUUUCUUUUAGGUGCAACCAGUCAAGGCAAGACGCUAGCACUUGUAGAUUGAUAGCAUGCUAUUGUAUUAAGGGACUAGUCUAUUUCGGGCAUUGCAAUGAGAUGAUUAGGGUGAUAGUUGCAAAGACUGAAAGAUGGCAAAAAAGCUUGUUAUUGUUUUUACUUUAAAUUUUAUAAAAAGGGUUUUCUCUAUAAGAUGCAUUUAGAACUAGUUUUCUUUUUUCAUUUCAACAUUUUGAAUGGUGAAAUUUCUAAGUUGUGUAUUUCCUUCCUAAAUAUUUGCCAAAUUAGUUUCUAUUGCAAUUUAUUAUGAUAUUUGGUAUUUUUUGAACAUUAUUUAUUUAAUUAUAUAUAUGCUUGAUCUAAAUAAAGAUGUAUAGGCAAUUACUAGGCUACUAGCUUGAUAGUCAACUUUAAAGACCACGCAAUAGCACGUAUCUGGUAGGAUAGUGAUUACGGAUAUCGAUCCACAGGAAUUGGGGUACAGUUGUUUUCUUAAAAAAUAUUUAAAAGAAAAAGUUUGUGAAGAAAAUUAAACUAAGAAAUUUAAUAAAAAAAUGCAAUUAAAAUUAUAUCAGUUUAGGAGAAACCUAGGGUAAGGAAUUUACCACUAACAUCGGAAUAAGGGUUAUAUGUAAUUAAUUUCACUCUUGGAUUAUUAUGUAAAUUGGCUACAAGCCUAAUAAGCAUUCAAAUAAAAUCUCACAAAAGUAAUUUAGAAACAUCCAUCUUCGGUUGGCAUAAAAUGUCUACCCUAAACUAAUGUGGCAGGACACUGCAUCUUCCCUAAGCAUGGGUGAUCUUUAUACUCACU
rnacentral:lncRNA from 1 species